GGGCGGUUAGCUCAGUUGGUAGAGCGCAACAUUGACGUUGUUGAUGCCGUGGGUUCGAGUCCCUCACCGCCCA
rnacentral:tRNA from 1 species